UCCGGGUGUGGUGGUGCUCACCUGUAGUCCCAGCUACUUGGGGGUCAGAGACAGGAGGAUCACUUGAGCCCAGGAGGUCGAGGCUGCAGUGAGAUGUGUUCAUGCCAUUGCACUCCAGCCUGGGUGACAGAGUGAGACCCUGUCUCAA
ensembl:misc_RNA Metazoa_SRP Metazoan signal recognition particle RNA